GGAAACCCUGUGUGGAGUCCUUACAGGGGAGCCAGCACUUGACUUCCUGCCACAUGGGGGCCAAUUUGUGUUUGUCAAGAAAGCAGCUACAACCAACAGCAAGAGGGCUCUGAGAAUGGCACAGUGGCAAGAGGAAUCUGGAGGGAUAAGCCCCGAGGUCCCAGGAAUCCUGAGAAAUGUCUACAGGUAGAUGUCCUGAGGUCCUGCUCAGAAGGCCACUGGCCAGGCCAGGUGUGAGGUCAGCAGAAGCCUCCAGACUCCAGCCCGGGGAUCAGCUGCCAGGUACCCCUCUUGGUCUCCUGGUCGUGAUCAGAGUGCCUGUGUCGUUUUGUAGCCCGCAGGAUUUAGAUCGACCUUCAGAUUGAUCCGGUUGGGAACCCUUCCCCGCGGUCCUCCUAUCCACUGCGCAGCGAAUGGGCACCACCCCUGGCCUCUUUGCUGCUGCUCUGUUUUUUGGGUUGCUGCCCCAGGAGCAUCGUCUUGACGCUUAGCCUGCAAGGCGUCAGAGAGAAAAAGUCUUUGUGGAACUUGGAACUUUUCUCUUCAUUAACAUGACAAACAGGCUACCUCUAUCAAGGGCAGCCGAGUGAGACCAGCCUGGAAUUUAGAAUCUCCUUAUAAAUAAAGUCUCAGCUUUAAGCAUUAAUGAAAGACAUGGGAUCUUUAUGGCGCCAUUCAUUUCUGAUCUUGCCAAUUCAGUAGCUAGAGUGUCUUCUAUCUUCGCCCCUGCCACUAAUUAUGGAACUCUGCCCUGAUGUGCGGUAGCUCAGGUUCUUAGCAGGAUCAUUAUUCAUCUAAAAAUAUUAUAUAAUAUCUAAGACUGGAUAAAAGGACUUCAAAUUGCUAAUAUUUGUAUUUCUAGCUAGAAUUUUC
rnacentral:lncRNA from 1 species